rnacentral:lncRNA from 1 species
UGAGUGUUUCUUAUAUAUAUCUCAAUGGAUGACACAACAGAUCGCGAGUAAUUACAGAAUUACAAAAAAAAGGAACAUGAAGAGAAAUAAUUCAAUCGAGGAAUUCAGAGCAAGCCGGGGCGCGAGUGGAAGGGGAACUGAUGCACCACGAUCGGUGGAGCCUUGCUAUCAUCUCGCCUCUUCCUCCUCUCCUUGUCCUUGCCCCCUGCUGCCGCUCCCUGCUCGCCUCCCUUGUUCAUCUUCCCCUCACCUGCCCCCCGCUUCUGCCGCUGCUUAGCCUCUGGAUCACCUCCCGAUUGCUUACCGCCGGCAGCAGGCGACACGGCGGCGACGCCGCCGCAGCAUCCUCCCAAAGAAGCCCAGUACCAUGAUUGUUGGCCGACGACAGAGCGCGCGGUGGGUGGAUCGAUGGACCGAUGUUUUUCCUUCAGCCGAUCGAGCAACUCCUCCUGAUCCUGAUGACUACUGCGUUUGAGCUCUGGUGGUCUACGUGCUGCUCCGAUGUCUCCUGCUGCUGCUCAGCUGCUGUGUCUGUGUGCCUCUGUGUCUCUGAGUGGCAGCUUAAUUUAUAGGAGGCCGCUGCUGCCAAUCGAGUUGCGUGACGAGCCGGCGGGGUGCUUUUGUUGCUGCGGAUGCGUGCCGGGUGGCAAGGGAAGGUUAGCUUGAAGCUUCGUCCAAGAAGGCUCCGGGUGAGAGUGAGACGCUGAGUGAACGAGUCUAUUGGCUUGUAUUGGUCUUGCUCCAUCAGCUUGCGGAUAUGAUGCUGACGCUGCCUUGGUUGCCAAGGUUUCUACUCCCGUGUUUUGACUUAGGCCUUGUUUAGUUCACAAAAUUUUUCAAGAUUCCCCAUCACAUCGAAUCUUGCGGUACAUGCAUGAAGCAUUAAAUAUAGACGAAAACAAAAACUAAUUACACAGUUUACCUGUAAAUCACGAGACGAAUCUUUUGAUCCUAGUUAGUCUAUGAUUGGAUAAUAUUUGCCACAAACAAACGAAAGUGCUACAGUGGCAAAAUCCAAAACUUUUCCCAAACUAAACAAGGCCUUAGACUCAGGCCUUGUUUAGUUUAUGCAGAAAAUCAAAAAGUUUUCAAGUUUUCCCGUCACAUUAAAUCUUGCGGUAUAUACAUAAAGCACUAAAUAUAGAUGAAAUAAAAACUAACUAUACAGUUUGUCUGUAAAUCGUGAGACGGAUCUUUUGAUACUAAUUAGUCUAUAAUUAGACAAUAUUUACUACAAACAAACGAAAAUACUACAAAUAUAAAAUUUUUUCGCAUCUAAGCAAGGCCUCGGGUAGAUGCUCUGAAGCUCAGCUCAGCUCGGCGGCGUCCACAGUCAAACCAACGUGGGCUUUAAUGUAUAGAGGGCUUGGCUACCUAUAUACUACUCCUAAAAGGCUAAAAUAGUUUAUCGAUCGAGUGGUCUGGCGGAAAAAUAAACGAGAGCGAGGAACUUUCUCGUGUCGUGGCGUCGUGGGAGAGGAGAUGACCGAGCACGGCGCUGUCAGGUGGAAAACGACCACUCGUGUCUAGUGGGUUCGUUAACCUGCCACUGUGUGCCACAUGGCACGUGCUACUAGUACAGUAGUACUUUACUUUGGUUAUCUGUCUAUCUGACGUUUUCAUUCGGCAAGAUACCGGCCGUCCUGUGAGACUUCUUUACUGCGUUAUUCCUUUUCAAAUUUCACUACCACUAGUUUUUGUCGUACUCGUGGUAUUUCUUGUGGAAACAAUUUUUUGAUGUUCAUUUUUUUUCAAUCUUUUUGGAAGUCCGGCGGGCUCUAGAUUCUGACUUCUAAGUAUGGGUAUGUGGAGUAGCCUGAAUUUGAUUUGUCACUGGAAAUAAUGAAGGGGUGGUUUGGAAGUAGGGAUGAAAACGGAUCGGAUCGGUGCGGGUACUGCCUUUUCCAUAUCCUAAUCCACUUUUUUUUGUCGGAUUCGGUGCGGAGCGGAUAAUACACGGAUGCGGAUGUGGAUACGGUUUUUUUCGGUAGUCGGAACUGGUACGGAUAUGGAGCGGAAACGGAUCGGAGACGGAUAUACAUAGAGAAUUAUAUGCUUGUCAAGAAUUUAUUUAGUACAAAACAAGAAUAGGCAAUAGAUAAUAAUUUUGCAUUGCAUUCCAUGUUGCUACUCUCACACUAAUAAUUAACACUUUACAUGAUAUCUCCACUAAAAAAUAAUAAGUUAUUAGCCAAUAAAUAAUAGCAUCUAGCAAAAUUCUUAAUUUAAAAAUUAGAACAUUAAACAACCACAUCAUAAAAUACAAGUCCUCAACUAACAAACUUUUUAAAAUCCUAAAUUCUUUAGUCUUGGAAGAGAAAACCUUCGGAUAUCCUAUUUUGAACAUCGGAUAAUCCACAUAAAAUUUGCGGAUAAUCCAUAUCCGCCGGAUUUUACCUAUUCCAUAUCCUACCCCGUAUCCGCAGACAAUCGGAUUCGGAUUACCCGUAUCCGUACGGAUGUUAAAAGUUCUUCUCCAUAUCCUCAAAAUUCGGAUUCGGAUCGGAUCAGUUCGGAAAAUUAUCCACACCACUUUCAUCCCUAUUUGGAAGAGCUCUAACUUCAGUUUCUCCGAAGAAAAUCACUCCCAGUCAAUUAAACGCUCAAAAUAUCAACUGAUUCAGGUAAGAAUUAGGAGAGAAUUAUUUCACCAUUUACAUUAGGAGCUGGGAGCUAAAAAAAACCUACUUCACUCUACUUCUUGUUAUAUUUUGGUGAGGAUCAACUCCCCACCCUGCUCAAUGAAAAUCACUUUAUCGGAUACUUAAGGAAAAGAGCUAAAGAAUCAGUGAGCUGCACUCUCCUAGACGGGGCCUCAUUCAUCAUGUUACACUACGGAGAGCGAAGGAGUACUAUGUUACAAUCUCUACGCGGUCAUUUUCUUUUUGUGAACUUCAAAGAAAUUUCCUCAUCUAAUCCCUCGCAUGCAAAAUACUCCGAGGCUCCUAUAUAUUCCUUAAUUAGUAACGCUGAUCUUUCUACCGUAACUCACAAGUCGGUUUGACUUCGACCGUGCCGAAGGAAUACAGCGGCAUCAGCAGUCAGCGGUCAGCCGUGCGUGGGAGUAGGAUUCCACCUGAAGCAUGCCUGCUUGCCCGUGCGUGUGUGCUCCCCAUCUAUCCCAAAAUCUUCAAGAACAUCCCUCAUCAGAAGGAAAUACCAGCAACUUCCACUAUAAAUAUGAGUACAUACUACUACUACUACUAUUAGCCUGCAUCAGAACAUUCAGAACAACCAUUAGAACAUUCAGCAACACUAGGUUCACAUACGCACUCAACAUUCAGAACAACCAUCAAGCAAACCACAAAGCCUGCGAUGGCUCAGCUCGGAAUCGGCAGCCCUGCUCGGCCUUUCAGUGCUUCUCCUGAAGCAGUGACGACGAACACGACAGCCUCAACGACGGCGAAAGCCGGAGAUGGAGAGCUGAAGAAGCAACAACCAGUCCAAGUCAACGGAACUGGCGUUCAGAAGACGGGAGAUCAUCAUCUCAAGGUUGCAAAACUAGAGGGGACGAAGAACAACGAGCGAGCACCCAUCGUCGUGCAUCACUUCCCCUUCCCUUCUCGCCAUGGACUGCUGUGAUCUCGGCCCUGGCUUGUUUGACAUCGUCACCUUUACUUCUCGUCUUGUUUGGAAAAUAUGUAGUACACACAUGGGUCGUCUGCCAUAGUUUUCUUUACAUGUUUUGCAGAAGGAAAACAACAUAUAUGAUGACACAUGGGGCCAAUAUUAAUGGACGAUAAGCAUUAUGAGG